rnacentral:rRNA from 1 species
AAUGAACGUUGGCGGCGUGGAUUAGGCAUGCAAGUCGAGCGGAAAGGCCCGCAAGGGCACUCGAGCGGCGUAAGGGACAGUAAUGUGUAGGUAACGUACCCCUGGGUCUAGGAUAGCUGCGGGAAACUGCAAUUAAUACUAGAUAACGUCUCCGGACCAAAGGUGUGAUUCCACCUGGGGAGCGGCCUACAUCCUAUUAGCUAGUUGGCGAGGUAAUGGCUCACCAAGGCGAAGAUGGGUAGCAGGUGUGAGAGCACGACCUGCGUCACUGGGACUGAGACACUGCCCAGACACCUACGGGUGGCUGCAGUCGAGAAUCUUCGGCAAUGGGCGAAAGCCUGACCGAGCGACGCCGCGUGUGGGAUGAAGGCC